AUGCGGCGGAGUUGGAGCACUCGCUGGGUCCUACGGUCGCGGGGGGCCCCAGCUGCGGGCCAUGUGGGAACCUCCCGGAGCUGAAGUGUUCCCGGCGGCCCUUGGCGGCGUUCUCUCCUUGCUGCUCUUCGCCCUCGGGGUCCGCCAGCUGCUGAAGCAGAGACGGCCGUCGGGCUUCCCCCCGGGACCGUCGGGGCUGCCAUUUAUCGGCAACAUCUACUCGCUAGCCGCCUCGGCCGAGCUCCCUCAUAUCUACAUGAAAAAGCAGAGCCAGGUGUACGGCGAGAUCUUCAGCUUAGAUCUUGGAGGUAUAUCGACUGUGGUUCUAAAUGGCUAUGAUGUAGUAAAGGAAUGCCUUGUUCAUCAAAGUGAAAUUUUUGCAGACAGACCAUGCCUGCCUUUAUUCAUGAAGAUGACAAAAAUGGGAGGGUUACUCAAUUCCAGAUAUGGCCGAGGAUGGGUUGAUCACAGAAGAUUAGCUGUAAACAGCUUUCGCUCUUUUGGAUAUGGCCAAAAGUCUUUUGAAUCUAAAAUCUUAGAAGAAACCAAAUUUUUCAUGGAUGCUAUUGAAACAUACAGUAGUAGACCUUUUGACUUUAAACAAUUAAUAACAAAUGCUGUUUCAAACAUAACCAAUCUGAUCAUUUUUGGAGAACGAUUCACUUAUGAAGACACUGAUUUUCAGCACAUGAUUGAGUUAUUUAGUGAAAAUGUGGAACUAGCCGCCAGUGCCUCAGUCUUCCUCUAUAAUGCCUUUCCAUGGAUUGGCAUCUUACCUUUUGGAAAACAUCAGCAGCUGUUUAGAAAUGCAGCUGUGGUCUACGAUUUUCUCUCCAGGCUUAUCGAAAAAGCUGCCAUCAACAGAAAGCCUCAGUCACCUCAGCAUUUUGUUGAUGCUUAUUUAGAUGAGAUGGAUCAAGGUGAAAAGGACCCAUCAUCUACUUUCUCCAAAGAAAACCUGAUUUUCUCUGUAGGUGAACUCAUCAUUGCUGGAACUGAAACUACAACCAAUGUGUUACGAUGGGCAAUUCUUUUCAUGGCCCUUUACCCAAACAUUCAAGGACAAGUUCAUAAAGAGAUUGAUUUAAUUAUAGGACCAAACAGGAAGCCUUCUUGGGAUGACAAAUGCAAAAUGCCUUAUACGGAGGCAGUUUUGCAUGAAGUUUUAAGAUUCUGUAAUAUAGUGCCAUUAGGGAUUUUCCAUGCAUCUUCUGAAGAUGCCAUUGUACGUGGUUAUUCCAUUCCUAAAGGCACAACAGUAAUUACAAAUCUCUAUUCUGUACACUUUGAUGAAAAGUACUGGAGAGACCCAGAAAUAUUCUAUCCAGAGCGAUUUCUGGACAGCAGUGGAUGUUUUUCCAAGAAGGAAGCUUUGGUUCCUUUUUCCCUAGGGAGAAGACACUGUCUUGGAGAACAGCUGGCUCGGAUGGAAAUGUUCCUGUUUUUUACAGCCUUGCUUCAGCGAUUUCACUUGCAUUUUCCCCAUGGACUGGUUCCAAAUCUGAAGCCCAAGUUGGGCAUGACGUUGCAGCCCCAGCCCUACCUCAUCUGCGCAGAAAGACGCUGAAAAUGCACAGAUGUUUUUUUUUGGAACAAGGCUAUAUGUUUGCCUCAGAAUAAGUAUUAGCUGUUAUUUUUUUCCUAACCUUUAUGACUUACAAAGUAGAAUCAUCUGAUGAAAACAGAGGUCAAAUAACAGUUGUUGCUGAAGAUACUAAGAAGGGCCAUUGAUGCCCUGACUUUGCAGCCUCUUGUUGAACACCAGAUUGGGAGUCGCCAUUCCUCUCCUGAGGACACUGAAGCAGUCCUACAAGGAGAGAAACUGAAGCCUCCCGCCAAUUGCCCGGAUCAUCAUGCCAACCAUGUGAAUGAGCCACUGUGGGAGUAGCUUCUCCCCAAACCUCAAGUUGACUGCAGACCCAGCUCGCAUCUGAUUGUGAUCUCAUGAGAGAUCCUGAGCCCUUUCUAAAUCCCCGACUGCCUCACAAAACCUCACAGUAAAUACCUUGGGUCUCUCUGUCCACAGUUUCUGGCUCACAGUUCCCAAACCCUUGGGAAUUUCCUCAACAGUAAGACCCAGGGGAGCAUCCUUUGUUAUGAUAUUUGGUUUCUUGUCCUCAGUUUCAGAAAAAAUGCUGCAGACCCCUGCAGGUGAAAAGGGAGUCUGGUUAUUCACAAUAAGCCUCUUUCCACCACAAUUGGGUUUAUGUUAAUCAGGUGAUUUUAGAAAGCACUUAAGGACGGGCUGGUUAUCAGGGGAACAAAUUUGCUUAGAGGGUGGGAACUCUCAGUCCCACCCCCUGAUUGCAGAGGAGGAGAAAAUGUCUGGACGUUGAAUUAAUUGCCAACGCCAGUGGAUUUAAUCAACUCUUCCUGGGUCCUGAAGCCUCCGCAAAAUUCCAAAGGAAAGGGUUUUGGAGAGCUUCCAGGUGGGUGAAGCAGAUCGCCUCCACAUGCCACUGUGGUUCCAAACUCCAAAAGGACAGAAGUUCCUUUGUCCAGGACCUCGCCUUGCAUAUCUUUUCAUCUGGCUGUUGGUUCGAAUCCUUUUAACAUCGUCCUGUAAUAAACCAGUCAUCUGGUGAGUAAAUUGGUUUUCUGAAUUCUGAGAGCUGGUCUUGCAAGUUAAUUGAACCCAAGGAGGGGGUUGCGGAAGCUUCUGUUUUAUAGCCAGUUGGUUAGAAGUACAGGUAAUGAGCUGGAUGUGAGACUGAGCCCUUAACUUGUGGUGUUUGAUGCCGUCUCGGGGUAAAUGGUGUCGGAAUAGAGUUGAA